CUGUCACUCUGCUUACUUAACCUUUCUUAAGAGUACAUUAUGAGAGUACAUUAUGGGUUGGAUGAAGCACAAGCUGGAAUCAAGAUUGCCAGGAGAAAUAUCAAUAACCUGAGAUAUGCAGAUGACACCACCCUUACGGCAGAAAGCGAAAAAGAACUAAAGAGCUUCUUGAU